rnacentral:rRNA from 1 species
UUGCACGCUGGCGGCAUGCUUUACCCAUGCAAGUCGAACGGCAGCGCGGGCUUCGGCCUGGCGGCGAGUGGCGAACGGGUGAGUAAUGCAUCGGAACGUGCCCAGUAGUGGGGGAUAGCCCGGCGAAAGCCGGAUUAAUACCGCAUACGACCUGAGGGUGAAAGCGGGGGACCGAAAGGCCUCGCGCUAUUGGAGCGGCCGAUGUCGGAUUAGCUAGUUGGUGGGGUAAAGGCUUACCAAGGCGACGAUCCGUAGCUGGUCUGAGAGGACGACCAGCCACACUGGGACUGAGACACGGCCCAGACUCCUACGGGAGGCAGCAGUGGGGAAUUUUGGACAAUGGGGGCAACCCUGAUCCAGCCAUGCCGCGUGCGGGAAGAAGGCCUUCGGGUUGUAAACCGCUUUUGUUCGGGAAGAAAUCCUCUGGGCUAAUACCCCGGGGGGAUGACGGUACCGGAAGAAUAAGCACCGGCUAACUACGUG